AUCCUUUAAAAAUUAGAAAAAAAGUCUUAUAUUACCAGGUGAUAGCUUUGGCUAUCUAUGGCAAUAAACGGCUUAUGUAAUAAAUGAAGCGGACCCGGGGGCAGUUCCCGGCACCUCCACCACUUGCUGGUAGACUCGUUUUAGGGGGGUGACCUAGGAUCGACGCGCGUCUAAAGAUAAGUUUUUUGCUCGGCAUUGUACCACCGUUAUCGGGCUGUUUGUUAUAAAUGCAAACAAAAACAAAAAAGUGCGUGUAGCUGCUAACCGCAACUCUCGCAUUGCAAUCGCUGCCUAAUUUAGGUAAGCGCGGUUUGGGGGCACCGGGCAACAGAAGCCCCCGCU
rnacentral:tmRNA from 4 species